UACGUAGGGUGCGAGCGUUAAUCGGAAUUACUGGGCGUAAAGCGCACGUAGGCGGCUUCUUAAGUCGGUGGUGAAAUCCUGGAGCUCAACUCCAGAACUGCCUUCGAUACUGGGAGCUCGAGUCCGGGAGAGGUGAGUGGAACUGCGAGUGUAGAGGUGAAAUUCGUAGAUAUUCGCAAGAACACCAGUGGCGAAGGCGGCUCACUGGCCCGGUACUGACGCUGAGGUGCGAAAGCGUGGGGAGCAAACAGGG
rnacentral:rRNA from 1 species